rnacentral:rRNA from 1 species
AAUGGGCGGAAGCCUGAUCCAGCCAUGCCGCGUGAAGGAAGAAUGCGCUCAGCGUUGUAAACUUCUUUUGAAUGGGAACAAUAAUCCCGACGUGUCGGGACUUGAGGGUACCAUUAGAAUAAGCACCGGCUAACUCCGUGCCAGCAGCCGCGGUAAUACGGAGGGUGCAAGCGUUAUCCGGAAUCACUGGGUUUAAAGGGUGCGUAGGCGGUUUGAUAAGUCAGUUGUGAAAUUCACCGGCUUAACCGGUAGAACUGCGAUUGAUACUGUCAGACUUGAAUCAGGUUGAGGUAGGCGGAAUGUGGCAUGUAGCGGUGAAAUGCAUAGAUAUGCCAUAGAACACCGAUUGCGAAGGCAGCUUGCUGGACCUAGAUUGACGCUGAGGCACGAAAGCGUGGGGAGCAAA